UGUGAAUGCAAAGCGUGCUGGUCCACCCCCCCCCGGUCUUCCAGAUUAUUCACUGCGUUCAUAAAGGUGCUGCGGUCUGCCUCACAGUCAGACGGCCACAUGGUUCUCCUUUGGGCUGGGGUUUAUUUGUGGGAUAUCCUUUUUUCUUCUUUUAUGAAGGCCGGCUGCCAAAGGCUAAAGGUGAACUGAAAGCAGUGGAGCCAAGGAGGCUGGAUGAAGAGCAGAGCGCUCAGGGUGUGAGGAGACCGGCCCGGGAGCGGAGGAGAGAGGGAGAACCACGAGAGAGAGAGAGGGAGAACCACGAGAGCGAGAGGGGGAGAGAGAGAGAGAGAGAGAGAGAGAGAGAGAGAGAGAGAGAGAGAGAGAGAGAGAGAGAGAGAGAGAGAGAGAGAGAGAGAGAGAGAGAGAGAG
ensembl:lncRNA